AAAGGCUCAUUAAAUCAGUUAUGGUUUCUUAGAUCGUACCCACAUUUACUUGGAUAACUGUGGUAAUUCUAGAGCUAAUACAUGCAAACAGAGCCCCGACCGGAGACGGAAGGGGUGCUUUUAUUAGAUCAAAACCAAUCGGCGGCAGUGGCGUUUCGGCGUUGCUGUUCGUCGCACUGUUUGGUGAUUCUGAAUAACUUUUGGCUGAUCGCACGGUCUCGCACCGGCGACGCAUCUUUCAAAUGUCUGCCUUAUCAACUGUCGAUGGUAGGUUCUGCGCCUACCAUGGUUGUAACGGGUAACGGGGAAUCAGGGUUCGAUUCCGGAGAGGGAGCCUGAGAAACGGCUACCACAUCCAAGGAAGGCAGCAGGCGCGCAAAUUACCCACUCCCAGCACGGGGAGGUAGUGACGAAAAAUAACGAUAUGGGACUCAUCCGAGGCCCCAUAAUCGGAAUGAAUACACUUUAAAUCCUUUAAUGAGGAUCCAUUAGAGGGCAAGUCUGGUGCCAGCAGCCGCGGUAAUUCCAGCUCUAAUAGCGUAUAU
rnacentral:rRNA from 1 species